GCCGGCGGCGAGGAGUCCAGAGCCCAAGGUCGCCCAGUCCUCUCGGCUGUCUCGAGCUGAAUGGCUGGCAGUCUGCGGCUCCCCCGCCUCCGGCCCGGCAGCCACAGGUCGGAGGCGCCCGGCGUCCGCGCUCGAGGCCGGCAGGGGCGCCCUGCACCCUCCCGCGCCCUUCCCCGCCCUACGCUACUCCGGGCUGCUCUUCCCGCCACUCCCCUGGGCUUUGCCAUCUUCCCUACGCCCCCCGGGAAGGGGGCGCUGCGGCCACCGAAGACACCGCGGGAGCCACUUGUCCCUGUGGGCCCAGCCCGCGAGAGCCUGAGAGCCGGAUCUGUUUACACAGGGUACUAAUUAGUCUUUGAGGAAUCAUUCACCCACGUGCCAAAGUAAUUGUCCGUGUCGGGAAGGUAGGCGUGCCAAGCCGCGGCUCUGCGGAGAAACCACGACCACCGCGGCCGCCGGAAACCCAAAGCGCUCCAGAGCGUCCCCGGGUGGCCGGGCAGCACCAGGGACAGCGCCCGGGACUCCACUGGGGACCGGCUCCUGGGCUUCCCAGCGUCGCGGGUAGAGGUACGGCUGCUCCGUGUGCCGCAGGCUCCAGAUUCUCGCCACCCCACCCCUCCCUCAGAAACUCGGACUGCUCUCGUCUGCCGUGUGGUUCUCUUUUCUUCCGAAAGGCCAGUGUCUUAUCUCUCAACUUCAAGUCCAGAGGACUUGUUCAGUCUCCCCCCCUUAAGUCAUUUCCACCAUCCUCAGGCAGCUGUGGGAAGCCGAGAGUCCUGGACUGUUCGUCCGGGUGCCAGCGCUGGCAGUCCCAGUCCGUCCGGUGCAGCAGCCCGGCGCAUUCCCCUCUCUCCCUCCCUCUUGCUCUCCCUCCCUUUCUGUCUUCCUCUCUUUCCUCCUCUACUGCUCCCUCCCUCUCUUGCCUCUUAAGUUUCCUGCACCGUGAAUCCAACUGUGCCAAGCCUUGGCUCCCGCGAACCAAUCCUGAGCGCGACCCGGGCACUGGGACGGCGACUCCGCCAAAGCUGGACGAGGCAGCCGGACCCGUCUGCGCUCGAGCAUGGAGACGGAGCGCCUGGGAGGGCACGUCCGGGGCGCUGGAGACGCCAGGCCCGAGUAGCUCCUCCAUGGAGCCUGCCCAGAGCUGUCCCUUCUCGCAGGAUUCGCCCCAAGUCCUGUGCGGCUGCUGAGAGCGCUCCUUGCUCUGUAAAGUGGAUGUCAGGUGGAUCUAUGUUUCUGAAGGAACAAAGACUCAAAGAAGGCACCGCCAAGGAAGUUUGAGACGCGGGAGAAUGCAGGCUGCGUGCUGGUACGUGCUUUUCCUCCUGCAGCCCACCGUCUACUUGGUAAGUCUUGGAGGGUUCGGGGCUUUCGCAUUCUUACCCCGGCCGGGAGGCAAGGAAACUGGGAACACGCGGGAGAAGGGUUACGCCGCCAGUUCAGCGAGAGCAGCUUCCUAGCAGCUGUGUUGGAGCAACUUUGGCAAGCUGGUCUCUGGAUUCCUGCGGAUUUUCCGGGGUUCCCACCCCAUUUUCUGCUCCAAUCCCCCAGUCUCCUGCGCGUGAUUCUUGAAAGAGGCUAGGGCGCCCCAGACACCCUAAACCCAAGGAGGUAGUGAGAUGGGGUGCUUUAUGUGAUAGAGGGCCAACGAGAAGAAGUGGAAGGCAGGAACUCUCAGUAGCUCAUGCACAGAGUUUAAACGAAGGGAAGUGGGGGUGUAGUUGGGUGGUGGAAAGAACAAAUCUGCCCAGGUCUGUGAGUUUAAAAGUGAAUCUACCCACCCACUUCCCCGAUUUGGAGAUGAGACACAUAAAGAAGCGCAGUUAACUUUCUUUGACUUGUAAGGGUUCCGAUAGGAUAAGUUUAACUAUCAGGGGUACUGCAAGCAAUCGGAGUUAGGUCAGAGAUACUCCAGCAAACAUGUCCACCUUCCUCUCGUCUCGACCUCCCCUUUUCAUCAAAUAACUAAAUCCCAUCUCCAGUGACUAGUCCAUUAUUAGGGAAUGGUAGGCCUUGUCGCCAGGGAGAGUAUUCUAAACAAAGCCGCGGUCCUUGUCCUUCAGUAGCAGAGUUUUCCGGGGGGCUGGACUUUGUACGCUGCUGGAACUCGGUUCCUGGUUGAAGAGCUUUGUUGUGGUGAAUUGGAAGCUGUUUGUGCCAUGUUGAGACAAGGAGAAUGAGAUAUUUCAGGUCUG
rnacentral:lncRNA from 1 species